GGCGCAGCGCCGGAGAGCAGCCCUGUGUCCGUCCGCGGCCGCCAUGUUCGGAGAUAUCAACCAUUUACUGCAAUAAAGAAAUAAUAAGGAGAGACUGAAUCAGUGUCAUUUGCUCUCUGCUGUAACUUGGAAGGUGCGAAGUGCUCCGGACGCUGAACUUUACAGUUGUCGUCCGAGGAAGAGUUGAGUUGAUUACCGGGUUGAUUUUCACGCAUUCCGUUCUUGUCUGUCAAUUUGGAGAACAUGAUGAUAAACAUUGCGUGAAAGGAAGAAUUGGAAGGGAAAAAACAUCAAGCUUGGCUACCAGCCACCGAGUAAUGUUGUCAUCAAAAAUAAGUUGACUCCUUAUGAGAUUGGUUGGAAUUUUUCAAGAACUUCUCGUCUAGAUCAUAUCGUCAAUAAUAUGGGAAGAAGCAAAAAUGUGAAAUCUCACCAGUAUGAUGAUAACGGUUUUGGGAAGAUAACCAAGAACGAAGAUGGUCUUAGAAUUUGCUUUUACUGUGCUCAACUGAUCGAAAACAUUUCUCUUUAUGUAAUGAAGAGUGACAAAAACGCAACCGAGUACAGAUGAAGUUUUUUGUUUUGGAAGACCAAUAAAUCACUGGAUGUAAUUAUUUCAACUAAAUUUGAAAGCUACGUUUCUAAUUUGAGAAGUUCGAGAAAUACAACAAACGAGAGGGAUGACGAGCUAAGGCGGUGGAAACUGUCACCAGUUGAUUGUACUUCAUUAGGUGCUCUGGUGAUAAAGGAAUCCAGGCAUUUAAUGGAGUGCAAAUGAUAGGUGGCUAACAUUCAACACAUCGAAGCAUGGACAGCGUUUAUUAUCGUAAGUAUAACAGCCUUUAUAAAUAAAUAAUAAGAUUGAUAAAUAAUAAUAAAUAAAUAUUAACUAAUAAUUAAAUAAUGAUGAUGAUAAUAAUAAUUAGAUAAUGAUGAUAACAAUGAUGUUGAUGGUAGUAAUAAUAAUAGCAAUGAUGACAAUAAUAACUAAAUAAUGAUAAUAAUAAUCAAAUGAUGAUGAUAACUAGAUAAUGAUGAUAAUAAUAAUUAGAAUAAUAAUGAUAACAAUAAUAAUAAUGAUGAUAGUAAUAAUAAUAAUUAGAUAAUGAUGAUACCAAUGAUGUUGAUGAUAGUAAUAAUAAUAGCAAUGAUGACAAUAAUAACUAAAUAAUGAUAAUAAUAAUCAAAUGAUGAUAACUAGAUAAUGAUGAUGAUAAUAAUAAUUAGAUAAUAAUGAUAACAAUAAUAAUUAUGAUGAUAGUAAUAACAAUAACAACAAUGAUGAUGAUUAUAGUAAUAAUAAGUAAAUAAUAAUAAUAAUAAUAAAGCAAGUAUAACUUUAAAGUAUAGCGAAGUUGAUGAUACAAUUUAUGAAUUAUCUUGCAGUCUAUUUGUCGUUGAUUUUUUGUUUGGUGUUUAGAUUAAGUCGCGCUUUAGAGAAGAGAAACAAUAAUAAUAAUAGUGAUGAUGAUACUAAAUCUAUCUUAUAAUAAAGGGAAAAAAAAUCUGCAUAGUAUCAACUUGGUGUAAGAAAUCUUGCUUUAACUAAAUAAUUUUGUCAUUUUGAAAAGCUACGUUCCUGCUACGUUCAGAGGAGCUAGUAGUACCUAACUCAUUCCUUGCUGCACAGUCCCGCUCAGUCCUGUUGCAAAAAUUGCAUACGUCAAGUCUUUACUCCGUAUUGCACCGAAAACCAAAAUUUUAGGAAAUAAACCUUCCAUUUCCUGAAAGAGAUAGCGAAGAAAUGAAAUGUGUUUGGACAUUCAGAAUUUGUAAAUUUCUCAUGAUUCUUCAGAAUAAAGAAUACUUGCUAAAACAAUCUUGUACUGUUUUUUUUUUUUUUUUUUUGAAGUUAUACUUCUUUUGAGCAAUGAAGGUAAAACUUCAAUGUAAAACAGAAGUGGAAUACAGAUCAUAAAUUGAGGACAA